UUUUAUAUUAAUUAUGUUUAACCAUUAUAAAUAAAAUUGAGUAAAAACAUAUAAUUGAUUUAUUUUAAAUAGAUAUAUAAAAUUAAUUUGAACAACCAAUAUGAUUAAGGUAACUUUGUUAGAAAUGUAACAACCAAUAACUACAAAUUGUACUAAAAUAACAUGUUGCAUGUAAAGUGAUACAUAAUGUUUUUUUUCUCUUGCAAUUCUUCUGUAAUGUGACACUCCCGAUAUUCUUUUUACACCGAUUUUCGUAUGAACAUCUUAUUGUUAUGAAAACUCCAAAUUAACGUAGAAAUAAAUAGUAGAAAUAGAUGAAAGGAAUCCUUCUUUUGUCUACAUAUUGUGAAGGACAAAAGAUUAACGCCUAAAAAGUUAUACAAAAAUUAAAUAUAAUGACAAUUACAUAUAUAAUAUGCUUGAUUAAUAAAAAGUUAUACAAAAAAAGCAUAAACUCAAUAAUAAAUAUACAACUUUUUAUCUAUAAAACAAAAAACUGGAACUGUUAAAACAUAAAAAUAUUCUGCAAUGUGUUGUGUUUUUUUCAGCAGGGAUUUAAGGAGAAUGAUUGAGAAAAGAAAAAUCAUCAAAUUUUUUAUUGUAGAAGACACAAGUAUCCUCUGCCAAAAACAAUCAUCUAGAAUAAAGUUAGCAUGCUUGAUAAAAUUCUUGGAAAUAUAUUUAACACAGCUUUAUAUUCAAGUAUCAACUUAGAAUUCUCCAGCAAAAAAGUUGCAUCAAUAACUUAAUUUCAACCAGAAAUUAAAAACAGGAGAAAAAAUAAGCAAAUGUUGAAGAGGCUGUUGCAAGACCAAGAUGUUCACAAGAUCCAUAGCAUGCAUGUGGCUUGGUUUUUUUGUGGCUCGUUCACAAUGAGAGACCGCCAAGAGAACUUGACUAGAUUAGUUCUCCAUUUUCGAUUCAUAAAAGAUCAUCUUGGACAAAUCUUGGUCUCUGCUCUCUUCAACACAGCUUGCAGUGCCCUCCCAGAUUAUCUUUAGAGAAUGCUAUCAAUUUAUUAAAGAGGUUCAAAUCUUUGAUUUCUCUACCACCUACCUGAUAUUCGGAGGGGCUUAUCGAGGAUGAUGAAAACAUCCUUGGUCCCCAAUGCCUUCAACACAGCAUGAAAUGCAACUCAAUUUUCACAUAUCUCAACAAGUAAUGCUGAGCAGUAAAUUCUUUUACAAACUUACACAAUUGUAAAAAGUUCCGAGUUAAGGUGACAGUAGAUCAGAAUUAGAUGUGGCACCUUGAUCUGAAGGUAUUGUGACUGAUCUGACAGUUUCAAAAUAUCAGAUGAUAAAAAUAUACAAUAUACUAAAUAACACGCAAUACUCCAGAAUUAAAUACUGACGAUCAAGUCCUGAAUAAGCAAAAUAAAUUUAAAAGAAAGCGUACACAAAGAAGUAGAGACAGAAGGGAGCUAAAGAAAGUGCACAAACCAAUCUAAGAAAUAGUAAGUUGCACGCACAAUGUAGAAAUAGCUCACCAAAUAGAACGCCCGUGUUCGAGAACAGAGAGUCGAAGCACAUAACUCAAUCCGAGACUUCUUGUCUUUCGUAUGUAUCCCCAGUUCUUUAUCUGCCUCUGACAUUUAAACAUUCUGAACGUGUACUACCAUGCUACAGACUAUAUUACAUGAUGCAAUCACAAAUAUAAUUACAUGAUGCAAUCACAAAUAUAAUAAUCUCACAAUAGCCCUCAUACAAUUACUUCAUCCUGUCUCAGGACAAAAAUCUUCCCAGUCAACAUGAAAAGAUGCUUUCCCCAUCCAUAUCCCUCCAAAUAAAAAAUCAAAAUCAUAGCAGCCGCAUUUUAAGCUUCUUAAAUUACACGGAUUUCAUUAACAAAUGAAGAGAAAGAAUUAAAGAGCAUCAAAUUACAAACUUAUAUGAGCACAAGUAACUUUAUAUAUAUUUCAGUAUUUAACAUUACACAUUACAUCACAAAUAUACAUUUCAGAACAAUAACACAGGCACAUAAUCUACUAAUCAUUCUAACAUCCAUACAAUAAGCUAGGCAUGAUUGAGCAUCGUCAGUCAUAAAACAGAAAACCAAAAACCUAGAUCCAUCUGUGUGUGUACCAGAGUUAGUUUGCAACACGUUCAAUUGACU
rnacentral:lncRNA from 1 species